AUGGCUUCUUUAUUUCCCAAAGAGAAGUACAUUCAAUAUCUUCUUGUUUGUGAUGAUCUUAGAGAUAAGGUCACUGUUGACACUCCCAUGGAGCUCAACGUCCACCUUUGUGCUUUCGACAAUGAGCCUUUGUUGUAUCUGACGCGCUACCGUCAUCUUGUUGGGAGUCUUGUCUAUUUAGAUGUCACUCGUCCAGACAUUUCAUAUCACAUUCUCAUUCUAAGUCAAUUUGUCUCUAUUCCCACUUUCAUCCACUUGAGUCACCUCCCCCCCUGUUCUACGAUAUCUUUGUGGAACUACCUCUCACCGUCUCUCCCUUAA
rnacentral:rRNA from 1 species